UACGAAGGGGGCUAGCGUUGUUCGGAAUUACUGGGCGUAAAGCGCGCGCAGGUGGUCUUUCAAGUCAGUGGUGAAAGCCCGGAGCUCAACUCCGGAAAUGCCAUUGAAACUGUAAGACUUGAGGAUGAGAGAGGUGAGUGGAAUUCCCAGUGUAGAGGUGAAAUUCGUAGAUAUUGGGGAGAACACCGGUGGCGAAGGCGGCUCACUGGCUCAUAUCUGACGCUCAGGCGCGACAGCGUGGGGAUCAAACAGG
rnacentral:rRNA from 1 species